rnacentral:rRNA from 1 species
CUACGGGCUGCAGCAGUGGGGAAUAUUGGACAAUGGGGGAAACCCUGAUCCAGCAAUGCCGCGUGUGUGAAGAAGGCCUGCGGGUUGUAAAGCACUUUCGGUUGGGAGGACUACUUCUAGCACUAAUAUUGUUGGAAGUUGACGUUACCUUCAGAAGAAGCACCGGCUAACUCCGUGCCAGCAGCCGCGGUAAUACGGAGGGAUGCAAGCGUUAAUCGGAAGUACUGGGCGUAAAGCGCGCGUAGGCGGCUAGAUCAGUCGGGUGUGAAAGCCCCGGGCUUAACCUGGGGACUGCAUCCGAUACUGUCUAGCUUGAGUACAGGAGAGGAGAGUGGAAUUCCACGUGUAGCGGUGAAAUGCGUAGAUAUGUGGAGGAACACCAAUGGCGAAGGCAGCUCUCUGGCCUGAUACUGACGCUGAGGUGCGAAAGCGUGGGGAGCAAACAGGAUUAGAUACCCCAGUAGUC